rnacentral:rRNA from 1 species
UGCCAGACUCCUACGGGAGGCAGCAGUGGGGAAUAUUGCACAAUGGGGGAAACCCUGAUGCAGCGACGCCGCGUGAGCGAUGAAGUAUUUCGGUAUGUAAAGCUCUAUCAGCAGGGAAGAAGAUGACGGUACCUGACUAAGAAGCCCCGGCUAACUACGUGCCAGCAGCCGCGGUAAUACGUAGGGGGCAAGCGUUAUCCGGAUUUACUGGGUGUAAAGGGAGCGUAGACGGCGAUGCAAGCCAGAUGUGAAAGCCCGGGGCUCAACCCCGGGACUGCAUUUGGAACUGUGUGGCUGGAGUGUCGGAGAGGCAGGCGGAAUUCCUAGUGUAGCGGUGAAAUGCGUAGAUAUUAGGAGGAACACCAGUGGCGAAGGCGGCCUGCUGGACGACAACUGACGGUGAGGCGCGAAAGCGUGGGGAGCAAACAGGAUUAGAUACCCGCGUAGC